UGUUGCUUGCUCGGAAGGGCCCUCCUGAGCAAACAACAGACGGUGCUCAAAGUAACAACUGGACUUAAUAAAAGGAGCUUACACGAAGGAGGAGCUGAAGGCUGCUGUGGUCGUGUGCUGGGGGCUGCCCCAGUUCCAGCUGCAGGACCCCGGCCGUCCGCCUUCCGACUCUGGUGAUGAUUCUUCCUGCGGUCUGAUCAAGAUUCUACACAGUUAACUUUGUAUCCAAGGAUCUAUAGCCGAGAAAUUUGGAGCUCAGUUUCAAACGGUCGCAAUUGGCUUCAAUGUAUAGCCUCGCCAAGCAUUACAGCAGAGAAGCUUUUGUGCAAAGUGAGCGGAGCACCAGAAGAAAUCUUAAAAGUUUGAGAAGAAAAUAUGGUAAAUAAGAGAAAUCUCUGGUCAAUACUCAACAAGUCCUUCAGUCCAACAAUAUUCCAUACACGAAAUCCUGCCAAAAACCAGGUGCUGUACGAGUGAGCUGUGGCUGCCAUAGCAAGACAUCAUAGAUUGGAUGGCUUAAACAACAUAAAUUUAUUUUUUCACAGUUCUGGAGGCCAGAAAUCCCCAAUAAAGAUACUGACUGAU